UACGUAGGUGGCAAGCGUUAUCCGGAAUUAUUGGGCGUAAAGCGCGCGCAGGCGGUUUCUUAAGUCUGAUGUGAAAGCCCACGGCUCAACCGUGGAGGGUCAUUGGAAACUGGGGAACUUGAGUGCAGAAGAGAAAAGCGGAAUUCCACGUGUAGCGGUGAAAUGCGUAGAGAUGUGGAGGAACACCAGUGGCGAAGGCGGCUGACUGGUCCGGUUCUGACGCUGAGGCGCGAAAGCGUGGGGAGCAAACAGG
rnacentral:rRNA from 1 species